rnacentral:lncRNA from 1 species
GGGGUGACCUUCCUCAAAGUGCCCAACAGUGGGGAUAUGGAACUUGAAGAGACUACCUCAAGUAGUCAGGACCCACAAUGGAGGGAUGUGAACACUAACCCAACUACAAAACUUUAGAUCCAAAAUAGCUCCCGUCUGAAAGCAAUGCAUGGACAAAAAUGGAGCAGAGACUGAAGGAAUAACUGGACAGUGACAAGUCCCACAUGGGAUCCAACCCAUUGGUGGGUACCGAUCCCUGACACUAUUACUGAUAUGUUAUGCUUGUAGAAAGAAACCUAGCAUGGCUGUCCCCUGAGAGGAUCCCCCAGAAUCUAACUGAGACAGAUGGAUACACUCAACUGAAGCAUAGGACUGAGGUUGGGGACCUGUAAAGAAGAAUUAGAGAAAAUAAUGAAGGGGAUGGCAACCUCAAAGAAAGUCCAACAGUAUCAACUAACUUGGACCCUUGGGAGCUCCCAGACACUAAGCUACCAGCCAUUGAGCAUACAAGGGUUGAUGCAAGGCUCCUAGCACAGAAGUAGAAGAGGACUGCCUUAUCUGGUAUCCUUAGGAGAGGAGUUGGCUAAUCCUGUAGAGACUUGAUGCCUCAGGGAGGGGGAAUGCAAUGGGUAGGAACCUUAUCAGAGGCAAUGGGAUAGGGAGUAGGAAAAGAGCUCUGCCUGGGUGACCAGGAAGUGGGAAAUAUUUGGGAUGUAAAAAUUAAUGAAUAAUAAAAAAUUAAAAGAUGUUUUACUUUAAAUAAUAGAGUAAAUGUGAACUUCUCUAAGAGUCCACAGAUUUUUGUCCUUUGCCUCUGAGUCAGGACCACAAAAUCCUCUAUCACAUCCUCAGCAAUUAAACAUACCUCGGUUAGUCUAGGGUUAGUGAUUCUGAAUUUUCAGACCUGAUUUUUCAGGUUCAGACAGCUAUCUAUAAAAUAUUGACAAUUUCCUCCAAUUACAGUUCACAAAUUAUGAGGAAUUCAUUGGUGGAUUAGCACCUUAUGGUCUAAAUAUCUAGGACCAAUUAUAUUGCAAUAUUACUACCAGUUAGAGAGCACACUUCCAAAUCAUAGGAAUUUCACAGACAAUAAUGAACCCUAGGCCUCUAUGGUAGAAUUCAUGUAUUCAUUUUUUGCCAAAAAUAUACAUUUGCUUUUCAAACUAAUUUUUACUGAACUUCAAUAGUUAAUAUAAGUGGACAAGAGGAUGACAUACCUUGAAGAUAGAUUCAGAUAAUGUAUGUUAAAGACCGAAACUUGUUCUUAAUUUAUAAUACUUUUGUAGAUCUAAUCAUGGAACAUAGUGAGAAAGUUAUUGAUUAUUGUUGGAGAAUUAGAACUUACACAAUUAUAUUAUAGUUUAAAAUUGAUAAAUGAUGAUACAAAGCAUAAAUCUAAAGAAAGCUAAAAUUAUCAUUAGAUUAUCCAAGGGAACAUGGGACUUCUAUAUAACAAUUACCUUUGUCACUUUCAUGGAAAACAGAAACAUGUUCUUUUGUGAGACAAAGAAAAAGAAAACUGCAGGACAGGAAUUGUUGUGGAGAAACUAAAAUUUAAGAAUGAAAAAUAUUAAUUUAGUGUAGAUGUGUGUGUGAGGGGGACAGAGUUAGUGACAGAGACAGGGACAGAGAAACAGAGAGAGAAAAAUUAGUAACAAUUAUUUCAUGAUCUUCGUCUGACAUCCUCAGAGGACAAGUUUCAUAAUUUGUUCUUUUCUUUUACCAUGUUUAUUCUUUCUCUCUCUCUCUCUCUCUCUCUCUCUCUCUCUCUCUCUCUCUCUCUCCCCUCCCUCCCUCCCUCUCUCUCUUUUCCUUCUUCUGUUUGUUUAGGUUCAUUUUUCUGUUCUCUGAGUUUGUUGUUUGUUUGUGUGUGUGUGUGUUUAAUUGUUGUUUUGUUGUUUGAAUUUUUUGUUGCUGUUGUUAUUUUUUUCUAUAGCACUGGCCUUGGUACUCCAGGACAACAUCCCCUCCUAUAUCUACAUCACAAACCUGCUACAUACUGCAUUUUUAUGCUACAAACCCCUAAUUCUCCAUUCCCCCUUACUACUACCACUCCCAGUUUUGAUCUUCUGGGUCAUUUUCUUGGCUGGACUUUCCACCUCAUCCAUCCAUCACAUAGAGCUUUCUCAUAUGUGUUCUGGAAACUAUUCUUAGGCCUUUAGACUUGCAUGACUAAUGCUUUCCCCACUGAGCCACCUCUAUGGAUAUGCAUUAUGAAUUCAUUGUAAGUGUUACUGUAGAUGUAAAAAUUAAAAUACACUCUACUUAUUUGGUAAGAUAAAGAUGAGUAAUUUUAAGAUAAUUUCCCAUGUCUUUACAUUCUCAGAAAAUUAUAAUGAAGAAGUCAUCACAUAUGAAAACAUUAAAUACCUUUCCAAGCCAUUAUAUUAUUUGAUAUUUUACAUAAUUAUCAUCUCAAACUUAAAUUUUAUUUGGUUUUAUUAAAUUGAUUAUUCUCCACUUUACUGCUCCAAAAAGGGAUAAUGAUUAUACUUUAGGCAUAUCACAUCAAUGGUAUAAGGAAAGACAAGAAAAAUUAACAGACUGAAUACAGUAUAAUAGUUCCACAAACAUUAAUAUGAACACCAGUUCAAUAAAAAAACAGAUUUACUUACAAUUUUCAAAGAAUAUUAACAGAU